rnacentral:rRNA from 3 species
UACGUAGGUGGCAAGCGUUGUCCGGAAUUAUUGGGCGUAAAGGGCUCGCAGGCGGUUUCUUAAGUCUGAUGUGAAAGCCCCCGGCUCAACCGGGGAGGGUCAUUGGAAACUGGGAAACUUGAGUGCAGAAGAGGAGAGUGGAAUUCCACGUGUAGCGGUGAAAUGCGUAGAGAUGUGGAGGAACACCAGUGGCGAAGGCGACUCUCUGGUCUGUAACUGACGCUGAGGAGCGAAAGCGUGGGGAGCGAACAGG